rnacentral:lncRNA from 1 species
CCGGAACAGUCAUGACCACGUACAUAUUGGGGACAAGCUCUUGACGACUCCACCGUUUGACGAUGAUCUAGCUAUUGGGCGUUCAGGACCUGAGUGUACUGCAGGAAAAGACCAUGGAGAUGGACAAGGAAAAGGUAGCUGAUAUGCUACAAUUACUUCUACUACGAAUUUUGAACUGCGGAGAAUUUUUUUUCCUGUUAUCUCAUGUCAUAGCUAUGUGUUUGAAUUGCAGAUGUAUCAUACAGUUUAUCAAGGAAGGUCUAGGAACAUGCUGUGAGUUGAGAUCAGCAUGGCCUGCAACCACAACAAGACAAGACCCCUACCAUGCAUAUAUAUUUUCCUUUCAAGUAGCAACAACUUGACUAUGUUGUCUAUGACAUAACAAGGACGAGAUAUGACAACCUUCUGCAUGUGUCAACAGUAAGCUCUCUUAUGUUUUGUUGUAAAAAUUAGUUAACCUCCAAAAUUAUUAUGUUUUAUUUAAUUUCUCACAUCAAGUGUGCUUGAGUGAAAUCAGAUGGUGGCUCUUUGGAAGGAACGGUCAAGAGUAAACGGAAGAAACUUCUGUUUUCUCAUACUUUAUUUCAUUUCUUUUUCUCAGAUUCUACUCCAAAAUAGUUUUUGGUUUGGAGCAUUUUCACUGGUUCUUUCCAAGUUUCGUUCUUCUCUUCAUUGUCUAUCGCUUCUCUAUCAGAAUAUUAUACUUAGUAUACUCUUGGUUUCCUAAGUUAUAUGAUUUAUUUGUUGCUAGGAUUAUUCUGACAUGUGUAAGCCUUGAUUUUGACGAACAAG